GCCCGAGAAGCUCAACUGGAAGAGCGCCGCUCUUGUAAAGCGGAGGUAGUGGGUUCGAGUCCCACCUUGGGCU
rnacentral:tRNA from 1 species